rnacentral:rRNA from 1 species
GAUGAACGCUGGCGGCGUGCCUAAUACAUGCAAGUCGAGCGAACAGACGAGGAGCUUGCUCCUCUGACGUUAGCGGCGGACGGGUGAGCAACACGUGGAUAACCUACCUAUAAGACUGGGAUAACUUCGGGAAACCGGAGCUAAUACCGGAUAAUAUAUUGAACCGCAUGGUUCAAUAGUGAAAGACGGUUUUGCUGUCACUUAUAGAUGGAUCCGCACCGCAUUAGCUAGUUGGUAAGGUAACGGCUUACCAAGGCAACGAUGCGUAGCCGACCUGAGAGGGUGAUCGGCCACACUGGAACUGAGACACGGUCCAGACUCCUACGGGAGGCAGCAGUAGGGAAUCUUCCGCAAUGGGCGAAAGCCUGACGGAGCAACGCCGCGUGAGUGAUGAAGGUCUUCGGAUCGUAAAACUCUGUUAUUAGGGAAGAACAAAUGUGUAAGUAACUAUGCACGUCUUGACGGUACCUAAUCAGAAAGCCACGGCUAACUACGUG